UUUCUCGUUUCACCACGAGAGCGCGCGAGCAAGCGAGCGAGGGAGAGGAAACGAGCGAGAAAAAGAGAGGCAGCACCUUCCCUGACCGCCCUUCUGUGCCGGCCAUCUCUUCCUCUCGGUUGAAGAAUCUCCGACAAAGGAGGCCGCCGCGAGCUUUGGUAACAUGCCUUCGGGACUCCUUCGGCAAUGUUUCCCUGGAGCCAGAGAUAUAUUGUCAUAACGAAGAGGCCGAGUUUGGGCCAUGAGAUAAAACCAGUCUGACGUACGGAUUAUUCGAGUAUCGGAUUACUCGAGUAUCUCAUAUUUACUGACAGAAGAUGACUCGAAAAAAAGGAGAGAGAGAGAGAGAGGGGAGGGAGGUAUUUGACUACCACGAAUUUUCUCAGAUUUUGUAAACGUGAAUGUAAAUGUGAUACGAGCUAUAUAUUCUACAUACAAAGCAUAAAGGGCAUAAAUAAUGUACG